UACGUAGGGUGCAAGCGUUAUCCGGAUUCACUGGGUUUAAAGGGCGCGUAGGAGGGCAGGUAAGUCAGUGGUGAAAUCUUCGAGCUUAACUCGGAAACUGCCGUUGAUACUAUCUGUCUUGAAUACCGUGGAGAUGAGCGGAAUAUGUCAUGUAGCGGUGAAAUGCUUAGAUAUGACAUAGAACACCAAUUGCGAAGGCAGCUCGUUACACGAAUAUUGACUCUGAGGCACGAAAGCGUGGGGAUCAAACAGG
rnacentral:rRNA from 1 species